rnacentral:rRNA from 1 species
ACGCUCGACACCUCGGGGGCAGCAGUGGGGAAUAUUGCACAAUGGGGGAAACCCUGAUGCAGCGACGCCGCGUGGAGGAAGAAGGUCUUCGGAUUGUAAACUCCUGUUGUUGGGGAAAAAGAGGAUGGUACCCAACAAGGAAGUGACGGCUAACUACGUGUCAGCAGCCGCGGUAAUCUGAGCGGGCUGGCAAGGC